GGAUAAUCAUUAAAAAAUAGCCGUGGAUGCAGAGUCUACGUUCCUGUUUUUGGACUGUUUACCCUUUGAUGAUGGACCGGGAGGAAUUCUCUGGACUCUUCUGCUGUGGAUAGACCUGUCGCAGUUUCUUCAAGGUGUACUUCCAACUCUCGAGUGUGAAGAUAACUCCAACCAAGUUGAAGAGUUUCAGUUUGGCAUGGACAUGGCUUGACCUCCAUCAGAUCUCGUACCUAUUCCAAAAGGAUUUUGUGAGUAAGCACGUGCAUUUUAUUUUCUGCUUGUUCAACAAGUGAAGCGGCCUUUUUCUGUUUUCUGGUCCCAACAAACCCAAGCAACAACCAGGCCUGCAACGGUUUAUUAAAUCUGAGCUCAGAUAAAUUACGUAUCUGGACUGGUUAAGGGAAGAAAUUUAUAGAAUAUCAUUUUCUAAAUUGUUAUUUUGAGUCUGUGAAGACAUUUGAAGUAUUGUAAGUGUACUGAGACACUUUAAAAAAAAA